rnacentral:rRNA from 1 species
UAAGCGNAGGAAAAGAAACUAACAAGGAUUCCCCUAGUAACUGCGAGUGAAGCGGGAAAAGCUCAAAUUUAAAAUCUGGNGGUCUUUGGCCAUCCGAGUUGUAAUUUAGAGAAGCGUCUUCCGCGCUGGACCGUGCACAAGUCUCCUGGAAUGGAGCGUCAUAGAGGGUGAGAAUCCCGUCUUUGGCAUGGACACACCAGGGCUUUUGUGAUGCGCUCUCGAAGAGUCGAGUUGUUUGGGAAUGCAGCUCAAAAUGGGUGGUGAACUCCAUCUAAAGCUAAAUAUUGGCGAGAGACCGAUAGCGAACAAGUACCGUGAGGGAAAGAUGAAAAGCACUUUGGAAAGAGAGUGAAACAGUACGUGAAAUUGUUGAAAGGGAAACGCUUGAAGUCAGUCACGUCGACCGAGACUCAGCCUUGCCUCGGCUUGGUGUACUUCUCGGCUGACGGGUCAGCAUCAAUUUUGCCCCUUGGAUAAUGGCGAGGGAAAUGUGACACCUUUAUGGUGUGUUAUAGUCUCUCGUCGCAUGCAAGGGUUGGGAUUGAGGAACUCAGCACGCGCCUUUUGGUGUCGGGGCUUUGCCCACGAUACGUGCUUAGGAUGUUGGCAUAAUGGCUUUAAACGACC